rnacentral:rRNA from 1 species
GACGAACGCUGGCGGCGUGCUUAACACAUGCAAGUCGAACGGAAAGGCCCUGCUUUUGUGGGGUGCUCGAGUGGCGAACGGGUGAGUAACACGUGAGUAACCUGCCCUUGACUUUGGGAUAACUUCAGGAAACUGGGGCUAAUACCGGAUAGGAGCUCCUGCUGCAUGGUGGGGGUUGGAAAGUUUCGGCGGUUGGGGAUGGACUCGCGGCUUAUCAGCUUGUUGGUGGGGUAGUGGCUUACCAAGGCUUUGACGGGUAGCCGGCCUGAGAGGGUGACCGGCCCACAUGGGACUGAGGUACGGCCCCGACUCCUACGGGGGGCAGGCGUGGGGAAUAUUGCACAAUGGGCGGAAGCCUGAUGCAGCAACGCCGCGUGCGGGAUGACGGCCUUCGGGUUGUAAACCGCUUUCGCCUGUGACGAAGCGUGAGUGACGGUAAUGGGUAAAGAAGCACCGGCUAACUACGUG